GGCGGAGGGAGUUGCUGGAAAGCGAUCCAGCUGGAUCUCACAUCAAGGGGCAGCGAGGAGAACCAGGGAGAAAAUACUGUUCCUGCUUCUUGAGCUCUUCCCCCACCCCCAGCCCCUCUUCCUUCUCGCCUCCCCAGGCUGCCCCUCAAAAAAAACACACGAGCCAGCGCGCCGCCGGCCGGCUGGCCUCUUGGCUCCGCCUGUGCCAGCAGCCCGACGCGUUUCGCUGCUAGGAGAAGGAGGAGGUGGCGGCGGCGGCGGUUUGCUACUGCAUGUGGCGGAGCUGACCCGGCACUGGGCUGGGAGGAGGAGGAGGAGGAGGCGGAGGAGGACCGGACCGGACCGCCCUCCUUGUCCCUCCCUCCUUCUCCAAGUAAUCUGGGCGCCCGACUUCUCGCAAGCGGCCGAGACGAGGCGUUUGCGCUCUUGGAGACGCGGAACCCGGGCAGCUGCUCCGCCGCGCCACCAUGGAUUCGGAUUCCGGAGAGCUGAGCGAGGGGGAGCUGGUUUCUUCAGCAGUCAAAGCUUCGGAAGGAGGCUCGGUCUGUCUGCAAGAAGAGUCUGCCACACACCACAUAUCUUCAGGACCAGUGUUAUGUGGUCCUGGCGCCACUCCCAAUCUCCAGUCCAGCAGCCGCAUUCUGGGUUAGUUGUAGUUGUAGCUGUAUGAACUUCUGCCCUAUUAAGCCUUGUUAAAAACUGAAGGUCUUUGCCCACAGAAUGUGGCAGUUUUAGUGCCUGCAAAGCCUUAGAAAACCUGCCGCCUGCUGACUUGUUACUUGGCUGAAAUGUAUUUAAAUUAGAUUUGUAAAAGGUUUAUUGCUUAUGUUAGGGGUGAUGGGGAUGUUGUAAUACUUUUGCAGAUCCAGAUUUAUUUUCUGAGCCUUGGAGAAAUAUUCCACUUUCCAACAUUAGUAAGAUUGUCUCAAGAUUCUUUCCGGGGUUUGGAUUCCAACUGAUAAAUGAUACCCUUGCUGGUGCCAUUGCAAGACCAAUUUUUUUUCUUUUAAAAAAAAGGUUCGUUUCCAUUCCUUAAAAGGCAACGGAACUUUUAAGAGCACUUACAGUAUGUGUGGGCAGAAAGCAGCGUCCGUUCUUGCCCGUUCUACAAGAGAGGGUUGAGAUCUGAUUCCUAGCUGCACAUUUGGGCGACAUCUGCACAGAGCUGUCCAAGGUCUUGUUCCUGCCCAGGCACUGCCAGUUUAGACCCGUAUAAGCGUAUACAGUGGUACCUCGGGUUACAUACGCUUCAGGUUAAGAACUUUGCUUCAGGAUAAGAACAGAAAUUGCGCAGUGGUGGUGUGGUGGCAGCAGGAGGCCCCAUUAGCUAAAGUGGUGAUUCAGGUUAAGAACAGUUUCAGGUUAAGCAUGGACCUCCGGAACGAAUUAAGUACUUAACCCGAGGUACCACUGUGAAAUUAAGUUGUUUUUGUCCCGACAUGCAUCACUUUUCACCUGUUUGCAUUGAAUUACAUUUGAUACUUUAUCUCCCAUCCUCACCGUUUGGAGACAUCCUUUCAGAGAUCUUCACAAUCGCUAAAAGACACGUUUUUCUCUGUCUAAGGCGUGCAUUUUUGCAAGCGGCUUCUAAUGUAGUGCAUUUCUUGUACAUUAUUUUCACAAAUGCAUUCAUUUUCAUACACAUUUCCCACUAAUAUGUGCAGUUCUGUAAGCCUCGGUUGGAGAACUGCACAUAAAAAAUCAGAUAGGUGUGAGUUUUGAAGUAUCUUGGGUGUCAUAUUGUUCAUAUUGGGGGUUUUAAAAAUAAAUUUAUUUAUUUGGUUUUUCAGAUUAAAAUCUUACAGCCACAUAUACAACAUACAACAUAGAUAAAAGAUUCCAAGGAAUCUCAUGGACUUCCCUUCUCCCCUUUGUGGAUCCUAUUGUUAAUCAUUUCCUCCUGCAUCUUCUAUAAUAAUCCGAAUCUUUUACCUCUCCAUUGUGUCCAAAAUUCACCAUUAAACUACAAGUGUUAUUCCAAUCCUGCUAACUUCAACUUAAAAACAAUGGUUCUUAAGAUGAAUUAUAAAUUUUCCCCAUUCCUUUUUAAAAAUUUGGUCUUCCUGAUUUCUGAUUCUUCUGGUCAUUUUAGCCCAGGCAUAGGCAAACUUGGCCCUCCAGAUGUUUUGAGGCUACAAUUCCCAUCAUCCCUGACCACUGGUCCUGCUAGCUAGGGAUGAUGGGAGUUGUAGUCCCAAAACAUCUGGAGGGCCAACUUUGCCUAUGCCUGUUUUAGCCAUUUGGCAUAAUCCAUCAACUUGAU
rnacentral:lncRNA from 1 species